AACGAACGCUGGCGGCAGGCCUAACACAUGCAAGUCGAGCGAGGACUUCGGUCCUAGCGGCGGACGGGUGAGUAACGCGUGGGAACGUGCCCUUUGCUUCGGAAUAGCCCUGGGAAACUGGGAGUAAUACCGGAUGAGCCCUUUGGGGGAAAGAUUUAUCGGCGAAGGAUCGGCCCGCGUUGGAUUAGGUAGUUGUUGGGGUAAUGGCCUACCAAGCCGACGAUCCAUAGCUGGUUUGAGAGGAUGAUCAGCCACACUGGGACUGAGAAACGGCCCAGACUCCUACGGGAGGCAGCAGUGGGGAAUCUUAGACAAUGGGGGAAUCGCUGAUCUAGCCAUGCCGCGUGAGCGAUGAAGGCAUUAGGGUUGUAAAGCUCUUUCAGCUGGGAAGAUAAUGACGGUACCAGCAGAAGAAGCCCCGGCUAACUCCGUG
rnacentral:rRNA from 1 species